ACGAAGGGUGCAAGCGUUACUCGGAAUUACUGGGCGUAAAGGGUGCGUAGGUGGUUUUUUAAGUCUGCUGUGAAAUCCCCGGGCUCAACCUGGGAAUGGCAGUGGAUACUGGAAAGCUGGAGUGCGGUAGAGGGUAGUGGAAUUCCCGGUGUAGCAGUGAAAUGCGUAGAGAUCGGGAGGAACACCAGUGGCGAAGGCGGCGUCCUGGCCCAUUUCUGACGUUCAGACAUGACAGCAUGGGGAGCGAACGGGA
rnacentral:rRNA from 1 species